UACGUAGGGACCAAGCGUUGUUCGGAUUUACUGGGCGUAAAGGGCGCGUAGGCGGCUUAACAAGUCACUUGUGAAAUCUCCGGGCUUAACUCGGAACGGCCAAGUGAAACUGUUAUGCUAGAGUGCAGAAGGGGCAAUCGGAAUUCUUGGUGUAGCGGUGAAAUGCGUAGAUAUCAAGAGGAACACCUGAGGUGAAGACGGGUUGCUGGGCUGACACUGACGCUGAUGCGCGAAAGCCAGGGGAGCAAACGGG
rnacentral:rRNA from 1 species